CGUAGAUAUAUGGAGGAACACCGGUGGCGAAAGCGGCUCUUUGGUCUGUAACUGACGCUGAGGCUCGAAAGCGUGGGGAGCGAACAGGAUUAGAUACCCUGGUAGUCCACGCCGUAAACGAUGAGUGCUAGGUGUUAGGUCCUUUCCGGGACUUAGUGCCGCAGCUAACGCAUUAAGCACUCCGCCUGGGGAGUACGACCGCAAGGUUGAAACUCAAAGGAAUUGACGGGGGCCCGCACAAGCGGUGGAGCAUGUGGUUUAAUUCGAAGCAACGCGAAGAACCUUACCAGGUCUUGACAUCCCGAUGCUACUUCUAGAGAUAGGAAGUUUCUUCGGAACAUCGGUGACAGGUGGUGCAUGGUUGUCGUCAGCUCGUGUCGUGAGAUGUUGGGUUAAGUCCCGCAACGAGCGCAACCCUUAUUGUUAGUUGCCAUCAUUGAGUUGGGCACUCUAGCGAGACUGCCGGUAAUAAACCGGAGGAAGGUGGGGAUGACGUCAAAUCAUCAUGCCCCUUAUGGCCUGGGCUACACACGUGCUACAAUGGCUGGUACAACGAGUCGCAAGCCGGUGACGGCAAGCUAAUCUCUGAAAGCCAGUCUCAGUUCGGAUUGUAGGCUGCAACUCGCCUACAUGAAGUCGGAAUCGCUAGUAAUCGCGGAUCAGCACGCCGCGGUGAAUACGUUCCCGGGCCUUGUACACACCGCCCGUCACACCACGAGAGUUUGUAACACCCGAAGUCGGUGAGGUAACCGUAAGGAGCCAGCCGCCUAAGGUGG
rnacentral:rRNA from 1 species